GGAAAAACCGAGCGUGGCCGUCUCUCGGUUUGGUCUGUGUUAAUAUGAAAAUGUCUUCGGCAAUAUCAGUGGUAAUUUUAGCUCUCCUCUCUGUCGCUCACGGCCACAGGGUUUACCAGCCUGAGAGAUCACGUCUUACUGUGACCACGCCAGCAGAAGAUGAUUAUUACGAUGAUUCGGCCAGUGAAGGAAUUUCACAAGUUGUAACUGAAAAUUCUAUUCGUGGACAAUCUUUGCCACCUGCUACUGAAAUCAACACAUAUGGAUUCGAGUGCACUAUAUUCAGCGCGGCUUACCCUGACCAAUACCUGACAAUGGAGUCAGGCUUUUUCCAUUAUUUCCCAAAACUGAAAAAAGGAACCCCAAGACCGAGGGAUGAGGCUUGGGACUGGAGUGGCAUCUGGAAGGUCAACCGCCUUGACUUCUUAGGGGACACGCAUUUUCAAUUUUGGAAUCACGGCACCGAGACUUUCAUGACUUACAACGCGACUCGUUAUUCUUUCGUUCGGGGAACCGGACGAGCACACGAUGUGGACAACCUGUGGGACGUAAAUGUCAUUCAGCAAACCAACGGCACCAUCACGACAAUUCAGCACGCACAACACCCGAACGGGCAUUUGCACGCGAGGACUUCUUCAGAAGGAAGCAAAAGCAAGAGGCCGGUCGGUAUUUUUGUUCCUCCGGAGGCAAACAAGGACAUUUACCACUGGAAAAUAAAUUGCGCGUCAUCUAAGAAAGGAGGAGUUUGAUUAAAUUUAAAUCAAAAUAUUAUAUAUCAAUUACCAAAAUAAAUAAUAUUUGUCAUGAAAACAAUUUUUUUUAUUUUGAUUACAUAAUCUUAAACUAGAAAUUUCCUUCCGAGCGUCAUGAACUUUACAAGCAUGGGGAUUCGUCCAAACCGAGGGGGCACAUCAAUGACACAUAUAUUAUUUCGUGAUGAUGUUAUGUAACUGCAUAGCCUACAAAAGCAGCAUUCGCUCGCGGUGAUCAUUCAAUCUAUCCGCAGUUAUGGCGCACAUUACUCCGAGUUUUCUUCUCGCUCUUGCACUUGCAGUCACUUUGCAAGUGUGUGGUUCUUUGGCUGAUAGCAACCUAGUAACUGAACUCAAGGCGCUUGAUGACUGCACAAUUUACAGUGUCAGGCACCCUGAAUUCUACUUAUCCCUUUACUGCCCUCUUCGAGUGAACUACAGACUGCAACUCAGGAAAGGAAACCCCCGCGAGUCCGAUGAUGGCAAAUCGACCAGCGGCCGUUGGAAAAUCAACAUUCAGGAAAACACAUCCUCUGGCAAUAAUACCCGUGUCCAGCUGUGGAAUUACUUUGCCGAGCGCAACCUCGAGUACUACGAAUCGGAAAACGUCAUUUCCACUAAAGUGGGCUACAGAAGGUGGUCGUCCGAUGGCAAAAACAACUGGCUCGUUAAUAUUAAAUCAGGUGGAUUGACCAGCGAGGGCAUCGUCACUCCCAUUCGACUUGACUUUUCUCCUGACCAGUACCUGCACGCUGCCAAUGAUGAGGACAUUACUAUAAAGGACACUGUUGUUGACAACACUGGCUUAUGGCGAGUCUCGUGCAAAAAGCAGGAAUGAUUUAAUUAUUUGUUACUUUGGCAUAAAUGAAAAAGUUUUAUCAGCUGUAUAUGUGAGGAAAUUGUAUAUUAUUUAGUACAAAUCUGGUACAAAUAAAGAGAAAAGUAAUUUAAAAAACUA